AGAGUUUGAUCAUGGCUCAGANUGAACGCUGGCGGAAUGCUUUACACAUGCAAGUCGAACGGUAACAGGUCUUCGGAUGCUGACGAGUGGCGAACGGGUGAGUAAUAUAUCGGAACGUGCCCAGUCGUGGGGGAUAACGUAGCGAAAGUUACGCUAAUACCGCAUACGAUCUAAGGAUGAAAGCGGGGGAUCGCAAGACCUCGCGCGAUUGGAGCGGCCGAUAUCAGAUUAGGUAGUUGGUGGGGUAAAGGCUCACCAAGCCAACGAUCUGUAGCUGGUCUGAGAGGACGACCAGCCACACUGGAACUGAGACACGGUCCAGACUCCUACGGGAGGCAGCAGUGGGGAAUUUUGGACAAUGGACGCAAGUCUGAUCCAGCCAUUCCGCGUGCAGGAUGAAGGCCCUCGGGUUGUAAACUGCUUUUGUACGGAACGAAAAGGUCUCUAUUAAUACUAGGGGCUCAUGACGGUACCGUAAGAAUAAGCACCGGCUAACUACGUGCCAGCAGCCGCGGUAAUACGUAGGGUGCAAGCGUUAAUCGGAAUUACUGGGCGUAAAGCGUGCGCAGGCGGUUAUAUAAGACAGAUGUGAAAUCCCCGGGCUCAACCUGGGAACUGCAUUUGUGACUG
rnacentral:rRNA from 1 species